UGGGGAAUUUUUCGCAAUGGGCGCAAGCCUGACGGAGCAAUACUGCGUGGAGGAUGAAGGCUCGUGGGUUGUAAACUCCUUUUCCUAGAGAAGAAAACAUUGACGGUAUCUAGGGAAUAAGCAUUGGCUAACUACGUGCCAGCAGCUGCGGUAAUACGUGGAAUGCAAGCGUUAUCCGGAUUUAUUGGGCGUAAAGCGUCUGUAGGUUGCUUCGCAAGUUUGCUGUUAAAUUGUUCGGCUCAACCGAAUCCCAGCAGCAAAAACUAUGAAGCUUGAGUGUGGUAGAGGAAAAAGGAAUUCCCUGUGGAGCGGUGAAAUGCGUAGAGAUAGGGAAGAACACCAAUGGCGAAAGCAUUUUUCUGGGCCUGCACUGACACUGAGAGACGAAAGCUAGGGGAGCGAGCGGG
rnacentral:rRNA from 1 species